UACGGGGGGGGUAAGCGUUGUUCGGAAUUACUGGGCGUAAAGGGCUCGUAGGCGGCCAACUAAGUCAUACGUGAAAUCCCUCAGCUUAACUGGGGAACUGCGUGUGAUACUGGAUGGCUUGGAUUUGGGAGAGGGAUGCGGAAUUCCAGGUGUAGCGGUGAAAUGCGCAGAUAUCAGGAGGAACACCAGCGGCGAAGGCGGCGCUCUGGGCUGGAACUGACGCUGAGGAGCGAAAGCGUGGGGAGCGAACAGG
rnacentral:rRNA from 1 species